AGUGAACGCUGGCGGUAGGCCUAACACAUGCAAGUCGAACGGCAGCACAGUAAGAGCUUGCUCUUACGGGUGGCGAGUGGCGGACGGGUGAGGAAUACAUCGGAAUCUACUUUUUCGUGGGUGUUAACGUAGGGAAACUUACGCUAAUACCGCAUAUGACCUUCUGGUGAAAGCAGGGGAUCUUCGGACCUUGCGCGAUUGAAUGAGCCGAUGUCGGAUUAGCUAGUUGGCGGGGUAAUGGCCCACCAAGGCGACGAUCCGUAGCUGGUCUGAGAGGAUGAUCCGGCACACAGAGACUGAGACACGGUCCAGACUCCUACGGGAGGCAGCAGUGGGGAAUAGCGGACGAUGGGCGCAAGCCUGAUCCAGCCAUACCGCGUGGGUGCAGAAGGCCUUCGGGUUGUGAAGCCCUUUUGUUGGGAGAGAAAAGCAGCAGGUUAAUACCCCGCUGUUCUGACGGUACCCAAAGAAUAAGCACCGGCUAACUUCGUG
rnacentral:rRNA from 1 species